rnacentral:rRNA from 1 species
ACUGUCGGCAUGAGCGUGACACCACGCUCGCACGUCGAUGAAGAGUUUACUGUCGGCAUGAGCGUGACACCGCGCUGAAUAGUGCGGCAACCUGUUGAACGGCUUAUCAGUUGAACCCAUGUGCUAGGGAUCGGGGCUGGCAAUUGUUCCCGGUAAAUGAAGAAUUCCUUGCAGAGGCGCGUCAU